rnacentral:rRNA from 1 species
CCUACGGGUGGCAGCAGUGGGGAAUAUUGGACAAUGGGCGAAAGCCUGAUCCAGCCAUGCCGCGUGUGUGAAGAAGGCCUUCGGGUUGUAAAGCACUUUCAGUGGGGAAGAAAGCCUUGGGGCUAAUACCCUCGAGGAAGGACAUCACCCACAGAAGAAGCACCGGCUAACUCCGUGCCAGCAGCCGCGGUAAUACGGAGGGUGCGAGCGUUAAUCGGAAUUACUGGGCGUAAAGCGCGCGUAGGCGGUCUGAUAAGCCGGUUGUGAAAGCCCCGGGCUCAACCUGGGAACGGCAUCCGGUACUGUCAGGCUAGAGUGCAGGAGAGGAAGGUAGAAUUCCCGGUGUAGCGGUGAAAUGCGUAGAGAUCGGGAGGAAUACCAGUGGCGAAGGCGGUCUUCUGGACUGACACUGACGCUGAGGUGCGAAAGCGUGGGUAGCAAACAGGAUUAGAUACCCUAGUAGUC